AAGACUAUAGACCUGCGGAGUACCUGCGGAAGGAUCAUUACCGAGUUUUCAACUCCCAAACCCCAUGUGAACUUAUACCAUUUACACCGUUGCUUCGGCGGGUUCUCGCCCCGGGCUUUACAACCCCGGAACCAGGCGGCCCGCCGGGGGACCCAAACUCUAGAUUUUAUUUUAGCAUGUCUGAGUGGAAUCAUUACAAAAUGAAUCAAAACUUUUAACAACGGAUCUCUAGAUCGGAAG
rnacentral:misc_RNA from 1 species